rnacentral:tRNA from 1 species
GGAUUGAUGGUUAAAUGGCUACAGCUUCUGCUUCAUAAGCAGAAGAUCAUGGGUUCAAUCCCAGCUUACUUCU